rnacentral:lncRNA from 1 species
GAUAUAAUAUAUAUACAAACAUAUCUAGAAAUAUAGAAUAUUUGAAAUUGAAGCAAAGGGGAAGAUGAUGGAGAAAGAAACAACAGCCAAGACAAGCACUUGGAUAUGAAGAGAAGAAGAAAAAAAAGAACAAAAGAAAAUGUAAUGGGGACCUUCACACAUGGGUGUUAGAAAGAGAAGUAUAUAGUGGAGCCAACACCAAAGCUCAUCUUAAGAAUCUUUUUUAGCAAAAUGUUGGUUGCAAC